CAGCGUUGGCAGUUUCAGGCUGAAACCAGGAGAGAGUGAUCUUUUAUUUACUGCUGGAUUUCCUCAUGGGCUUUCUGCUGAGCAGCACCAUGUCCAAGGGCUUUGAUAACUGAGCUCUCCUGGCAAAGACCAAGGUUUUAAGAAGACUUUAAAGAGGGUAAUGAAGUUCCUGAGAGUUCUUUCCACAAAUCUGCCCUGGAACACAGGAGGAACUUGGGAGAAAACGCAGAGGUGCAUGUGAAGUGACAGACUGAAGAAGGAAAGGGCACUGCUGGCCAAACACAGUGCAGACUGGAAGCCCAGCAUCCAGGAGGGAUGGUGUGUGAAGGGAUGAUGAGAUCCUGAUGGUUUGGCGUGGUUUUGAGGGUGAGGAAAAUUCCCCAUGGACAGGGUGUACCAAGGAGAGCGGCGAAGUUUCGCAACCCAGAGUGAAGUUUCCCAUGUGUGCUGUGACUCAGUGUGCUCCUGGUGUCUUGGGAAUAGAAAUUAGAGAGCAAGGCAUCACAUCCUAGCACUGUGCUGGCUGGAAGACCUUGAGCCCCCUCUGGGUAGAGAUGGCGAGCACAGAGGAUGAGCUUCCCUACCCCCAGAGUGAUCCAUCCUUGCAAGGCUGGGUACCAAGGUUUUGACUUCUGGAGGUGGAAUGUGGUCCUGCUUUGCUUCUAUCCCACUCGGAGCAGGUUAAUGCUCCGGAGGCCUCUCUGCUUAGAUCUCCCUUCAUUCCCAAAGCCCUGCCUCUGGUGUGAGGUGAUGGAUGCCUGGAAAUGAACUGUGGGGGGAUUUAUUCCGGGAGAGGAGAUAAAAAUAACCCAGCUUGUUUCUCUUUGCCCUGAAACCUCGGACAUUUUGCGUGAAUUAUGAGCAGCCAAUACGUCUUGUUCUCGAGAGGGUCAGGUAGGGAAAAGGGGCUGGAGCUGGCAAGAUAAGCCUUCCCUAGAAAUUAGGGACACAUCCAGAAAUAACCCAGAGUUUUCAAAGUCUGGGGGGCUGCCCAGUGAUUUAGGGGGAAAAAAAAUCCACUAGGACAUGAAAUCCAAACAAAAAAAGGCAGGGCUUUGCAGCACAGCUAAAUCGAGAAGCAAAGAGAAAGUACCAGGAAGGGCCAUUAGGGAAUAAUGCCCCUGGAAUUAAAUAGAUAACUUGGAGGCAGGGAAUUUCCCCAGGCACGAUUUGGCUGCGUGCCUGCCCCAGUAAAGCACUUUUUGACAUUAAGGCAACAGCAGAGAGAAGCUGGGACUUUCAAAGGCACUUUAUCUCCAGUUGUUCCAGUCUUAUUUUCUAAUUGGCCUGGACUCUGGUCCAUUAAAAGGGCUGACAAAUGCUGCAGGAGUAAGAGUAUUAGUAACUAAUGCACUUAGUGGUUGUGAAUAGGCUUAAUACAUGAGGAAUGAGUUCUCCUUUAUUUCACAGGAAUUCAAAGGAGCCUUGCCAUAGGCAUUAAUUGCAUUUAAUUCCAUGUUAGGGCCCAUUCAUCCUACCAACAACUUGGAUUACAGCCCAAGAGUAAAUGUGAUUCUCUCUGGAAGUGUUUCUUCUGAUCAAAUACUUCAGAUACACAAAA